UAUUGGGCGUAAGCGCGUGUAGGCGGUCUGUUAAGUCUGAUGUGAAAGCCCGGGGCUCAACCCCGGAAGUGCAUUGGAUACUGGCAGACUUGAGUACGGGAGAGGGAAGUGGAAUUCCUGGUGUAGGAGUGAAAUCCGUAGAUAUUCGGAGGAACACCGGUGGCGAAGGCGGCUUCCUGGACCGAUACUGACGCUGAGGCGCGAAAGCGUGGGGAGCAAACAGGAUUAGAUACCCUGGUAGUCCACGCCGUAAACGAUGGGUACUAGGUGUCGGGGGUAUUGACCCCUGCGGUGCCGAAGCUAACGCAUUAAGUACCCCGCCUGGGGAGUACGGCCGCAAGGCUAAAACUCAAAGGAAUUGACGG
rnacentral:rRNA from 1 species